rnacentral:rRNA from 1 species
CAAUAGCGUAUAUUUAAGUUGUUGCAGUUAAAAGCUCGUAGUUGGAUUUCGGUUGAGAGCGGCCGGUCCGCCGUUUGGUGUGCACUGGCUGGUCUCAACUUCCUGCGGAGGACGCGCUCUGGGCUUAACGGUCUGGACGUGGAGUCCGCGUGGUUACUUUGAAAAAUUAGAGUGUUCAAAGCGGGCUUACGCUUGAAUAUUUCAGCAUGGAAUAACACUAUAGGACUCUGGUGCUAUUUUGUUGGUUUCGAACACCGGAGUAAUGAUUAAAAGGGGCAGUCAGGGGCACUCGUAUUCCGUCGAGAGAGGUGAAAUUCUCAGACCAAUGGAAGACGAACCACUGCGAAAGCAUUUGCCAGGGAUGUUUUCACUGAUCAAGAACGAAAGUUAGGGGAUCGAAGAUGAUCAGAUACCAU